GUUGGGUUCCACAAAUAUCUGCUGCAAUGACGGAGGGAUGCAUGUGCGUCCCUGGGGGGUGGGAAGAGGCCAUGGAGUCUUCCUAGAGGGACAGCUUCCAGUCGGGGUGGACCCCACCGUCUGUGGGCCCUGAGCUUGGCCUUGCAUCCAUCAGCCCGUGGAGUAACUUUCCCUGGGUGGAGAACACAAUGCACACGCAGAGCUGGAGGGCAGGGGAGGAGGAGCUGGGAUAUCGGAGAUGGACCAAAGAAGAAGACUUUUCAGGAGGAACAGUUUUGCGUUUAAAAUCAGGACUGAGUACAACAUGAAAAGAAUUCUGGACCUCAGGACAUGGCGGGAGUGAAAAUGCAGAAUUCGCACCAAGGAAAUCUUACUGCUUUGGUAUCUCAGAUCGCAAAUUACAAACAGUUGUGUGCAGUCUGAAAAACACCAUUCAGCAGUCUCUCAAAGAGAAGCAAUCGCUUCACUUUCUCAACCAAGAUUUAAAAGUUAGAAAACGAUCCAGAUUUCGUUUUCCCAAGUGCCCUGGGACCCAUGGGGCCGCGGCCCUAACCUGUUUCGUAACCUCUCCGAAGGGCCGAGGGCCGGCUCUGAUCUUAGCACAAUGGGCUUCCUCAGAUGAAGGUGACCUCCCUCCUGAAUGUUUUUCUUGUCUGCAUGCUCCCUGGCUCUCUCGCCUGCCGGCCUUACGCAACUGCUCUUAUCUGCGCACAAGCUGUGGGUAAGCAAAUGUCCUUCUGGACACGGCUAAUCUCUCCAGCAGUCCUAGAUCCCUUGAGAUUAUGAAGCUUAAUUAUACUUUGGGUUUGGGAAGCUCGUUUUCCCCAUGGUGCAUUCAGAUCUCUGAUUUCACCUUCCUGAAACGUUUUUGUCUGACAGACACAACACUUCUGCCCCAGCGUCAGUUUUCUUGUGUCUAAAAUGAGGCAGCUUGACAAGAUGAGCUUUUUGUUUAUCAGCCCAAGGAAAUCCAGCCAGUCUGGGCAGGGCUGGGACACUGGAUCCGACGCCAGCCCCUCUUUGUUUGGAAGAUGUGCUGCGGACCCAUGUUCCGGAAUGAUCCUGAACAGCGUGUUCUUUUAAGUUUCCUUUCCUUCGAAUCUGCUCACCUACCAGAAACCUCACUGGGUAACUCAUCCUGUUCCCCAAAUUCCUCUCUGGCUACCCGAGUUACCCCAGAAACUUCUCCAUACUCCCGCUCCCCCCAGCAGGGGCAGGCCCCUCCCUCGGAAUCCCUUCCACAGGGCCUGGUGACCCUGCUGCUCCUUUUCCCGCCCCGGCUCUCAGGGCCUCCUUCCUGCAG
rnacentral:lncRNA from 1 species